GGAUACGGCCAUACUGCGCAUAAAGCACCGCUUCCCAUCCGAACAGCGAAGUUGUGGCGCCAGGCGGUGUUAGUACUGGGGUGGGCGACCACCCGGGAAUCCACCGUGCCCGUAUCCU
rnacentral:rRNA from 1 species